GUCUGUGAGACCGUCGGGGAAACAGGACAGGAGGUUUCGUCCGUCGCUCUGCACGGCCGUCGGCGGCGCGCCGCGAUUUCUUCCAUGGCUCGAGCCUCCCAGGCACCUGGGGGGAAGCCUCCGCCUUGGUGGUCUCUUCUGAAUGGAAGGUCAUCACUGUGAUGACCCAAAAGUCCAGCAAGUCCAGCUUGGAGACGAAGCCACCGAGAAGAACAAUGGUGGACCAUGCAACAACGAGCAUGCCCAACCAUCUCACAGCCAUUGACAGGUAUCCCAUAAGCGCAGCAUAGGCAUUGAUAUAUUUCACUUCUGCCCAUUUCGAGUCGUCAAUGGAGUCAAGUACCAGAUGAGCAAGAUGCACGGUGUUUGGAUAUCAUCACGUACCAGGUUUUGGCGUUGAAGGACGAUUGCUAUGAGUCAGGCAAGUUAUUGUAUCUGCUGAGAUUAGAUUCCUCAUCUGCGCAGACCUGCUAGCAAUCAAUCAAAAAGAAGACUGGGUAUGACAGGAAGAUAUCGGGAGCCAAGAAAAGGAGGACCUGACCGUACCUCUACGAACUAAAUGGACAUUAUUGCAGUGGGCAGUGUAAAGCUGGUGGUCGAACUUGCUCUCGGAUCAUCGGAUCAAGGACCAAGAACAAGGAUUGCAUUCAGAAACGAACACAGUAAACAGGCUAGGUGCUAUCCUGUCAAAUCUUGAAGACGCGGAUAUGACUAAGGACCCGGCAAUAACGUGCAAGGAUAAUGUGUGAUUCCGUAAACUCUGGUUCUUGUAAGACUGAAUAUUCUCAGGUCCCAUUACCAUGAAAUCUCUGGUGAAUCAAGCAACUAUGUUUGACCGUGCUGUAAGUAAAGCUUUUGUUUGGCGUUGA